GCUGAAGAAAAACGGCCCCAAAGCAUGAUGCUGCCACCACCAUGCUUCACUGAUCCAUCCAUUUGCAGCAAUCUGAGAUCCCUGAGGCAUUUCUCCCCAUUCUGUCCAAGAAGUUGGAUGAAUGAACAUCCACAACACUGCCAGUAAAUCUGAAACCAAAAAUAUAUUAUGCUACGAGAGCCACACCAGGGGAUCCAAACAGAUUCACAGGAAACAGGUUGGCAAGGAUGCAGGACACACCAAACUAAAGGAGAUUAGAAAUGUGAUUACUGACUGAAAGAAAGAAGAAAACUUAAGAGAAAGAAAGACGGAAAGAGAGAGGAUUGCACGUUUUCCCCUUUCUCAGUAGGGCAUCCCCUGAAUUCCUGCUACUAUGCCUGAGAGAGGGAGGGCUGAAGACAUGUCGAAAUGAACCCCUAUGACAACUCACACUUCAGGAGGGAUCUCUUUCCUCACUUCCACUUAUUGUAGGGGCUUUUCUACCGCCCCUCUGUUUGUGUGUGACAUGGGUACACCCAUGUCUGUGAUAACCUAGGACAUCAGGUAAAGACUGCGGGCCUGGUAUUCUCCUGUGUUGUGCCUUGGUUGCUUGUAAUCAGAUUGCUACAACUUAAACUCUCUCCAGAAAAGUGGUCAUGGUUUUACACUGUAAACUCUCCUCAGGAAACUGGUCAUGGUGUUACACUGUAAACUGUCCUCAGGAAACUGGUCUUGGUGUUGCACUGUAAACUGUUCUCCAGAAACCUCGUAACAUGUUUAGCAUUCUCAUGAGAGGUUAAAGACUUUGCCAGCAUUUGAAAACACAGUUUCCUUGAAAUGUGUACCGAAGGUAAUAUCUAAUAUCACAAUCAAACCUUUUCAUGACAUUUAGAUUUCCCCCGAUUCAAACCUUUUGAGAUAUUUUUGCAUGCAUAAAGACAAGUCUCUUUCAAUUGGCCUUGUCAUUGUUUUUACCCACUUUUCCUUGCACAUCUUUUGUUUGCUAUUUCCAGACUAAAAGCCUUUCAGAAUUGGAUAAACGUGUGUUCUCUGUCAAGCAGGGGUGCUGAGUGUGACACUUUAACCAAGAC
ensembl:lncRNA